ACGGGAGGCAGCAGUGAGGAAUAUUGGUCAAUGGACGAGAGUCUGAACCAGCCAAGUAGCGUGCAGGAUGACGGCCCUAUGGGUUGUAAACUGCUUUUGUACGGGAAUAAAGUGACCUACGUGUAGGUUUUUGCAUGUACCGUAAGAAUAAGGACCGGCUAAUUCCGUGCCAGCAGCCGCGGUAAUACGGAAGGUCCGGGCGUUAUCCGGAUUUAUUGGGUUUAAAGGGUGCGCAGGCGGGAUGUCAAGUCAGUGGUGAAAUGGUGCGGCUCAACCGUAGCAUUGCCGUUGAAACUGGCGUCCUUGAGUGCGAAUGAGGUACGCGGAACGUGUCAUGUAGCGGUGAAAUGCAUAGAUAUGACACAGAACACCGAUUGCGAAGGCAGCGUACUGGGACGCGACUGACGCUGAGGCACGAAAGUGCGGGGAUCGAACAGGAUUAGAUACCCUGGUA
rnacentral:rRNA from 1 species